rnacentral:rRNA from 1 species
UACGGGGCGCAGCAGGCGCGAAACCUUUACACUGCACGCCAGUGCGAUAAGGGGACUCCAAGUGCGAGGGCAUAGAGCCCUCGCUUUUCUGCACCGUAAGGUGGUGCAGGAACAAGUGCUGGGCAAGACCGGUGCCAGCAGCCGCGGUAAU